CCUACGGUAGGCAGCAGUGAGGAAUAUUGGUCAAUGGACGAGAGUCUGAACCAGCCAAGUAGCGUGAGGGAGGACGGCCCUACGGGUUGUAAACCUCUUUUGCCGGGGAGCAACGGGCGUCACGUGUGGCGCCACUGAGAGUACCCGGAGAAAAAGCAUCGGCUAACUCCGUGCCAACAGCCGCGGUAAUACGGAGGAUGCGAGCGUUAUCCGGAUUUAUUGGGUUAAAAGGGUGCGUAGGCGGAUCGUUAAGUCAGUGGUCAAAUUGAGGGGCUCAACCCCUGCCCGCCAUUGAAACUGGCGUUCUUGAGUGGAAGAGAAGUAUGCGGAAUGCGUGGUGUAGCGGUGAAAUGCAUAGAUAUCACGCAGAACCCCGAUUGCGAAGGCAGCAUGCCGGCUUCCGACUGACGCUGAAGCACGAAAGCGUGGGGAUCGAACAGGAUUAGAUACCCCAGUAGUC
rnacentral:rRNA from 1 species